GAUGAACGCUGGCGGCGUGCCUAAUACAUGCAAGUCGAGCGAACAGAUGAGGAGCUUGCUCCUCUGAUGUUAGCGGCGGACGGGUGAGUAACACGUGGAUAACCUACCUAUAAGACUGGGAUAACUUCGGGAAACCGGAGCUAAUACCGGAUAAUAUAUUGAACCGCAUGGUUCAAUAGUGAAAGACGGUCUUGCUGUCACUUAUAGAUGGAUCCGCGCUGCAUUAGCUAGUUGGUAAGGUAACGGCUUACCAAGGCAACGAUGCAUAGCCGACCUGAGAGGGUGAUCGGCCACACUGGAACUGAGACACGGUCCAGACUCCUACGGGAGGCAGCAGUAGGGAAUCUUCCGCAAUGGGCGAAAGCCUGACGGAGCAACGCCGCGUGAGUGAUGAAGGUCUUCGGAUCGUAAAACUCUGUUAUUAGGGAAGAACAAAUGUGUAAGUAACUAUGCACGUCUUGACGGUACCUAAUCAGAAAGCCACGGCUAACUACGUG
rnacentral:rRNA from 1 species